rnacentral:rRNA from 1 species
CACUCCUACGGGAGGCAGCAGUGGGGAAUAUUGGACAAUGGGCGCAAGCCUGAUCCAGCCAUGCCGCGUGAGUGAUGAAGGCCCUAGGGUUGUAAAGCUCUUUCACCGGUGAAGAUAAUGACGGUAACCGGAGAAGAAGCCCCGGCUAACUUCGUGCCAGCAGCCGCGGUAAUACGAAGGGGGCUAGCGUUGUUCGGAUUUACUGGGCGUAAAGCGCACGUAGGCGGACUAUCAAGUCAGGGGUGAAAUCCCGGGGCUCAACCCCGGAACUGCCUUUGAUACUGGUAGUCUUGAGUUCGAGAGAGGUGAGUGGAAUUCCGAGUGUAGAGGUGAAAUUCGUAGAUAUUCGGAGGAACACCAGUGGCGAAGGCGGCUCACUGGCUCGAUACUGACGCUGAGGUGCGAAAGCGUGGGGAGCAAACAGGAUUAGAUACCCCAGUAGUCCCAU